rnacentral:rRNA from 1 species
ACUACGGGAGGCAGCAGUGUGGAAUAUUGGUCAAUGGACGAGAGUCUGAACCAGCCAAGUAGCGUGAAGGAUGACUGCCCUAUGGGUUGUAAACUUCUUUUAUAUGGGAAUAAAGUGAGGCACGUGUGCCUUUUUGUAUGUACUUUAUGAAUAAGGAUCGGCUAACUCCGUGCCAGCAGCCGCGGUAAUACGGAGGAUCCGAGCGUUAUCCGGAUUUAUUGGGUUUAAAGGGAGCGUAGAUGGGUUGUUAAGUCAGUUGUGAAAGUUUGCGGCUCAACCGUAAAAUUGCAAUUGAUACUGGCAGUCUUGAGUACAGUUGAGGUAGGCGGAAUUCGUGGUGUAGCGGUGAAAUGCUUAGAUAUCACGAAGAACUCCGAUUGCGAAGGCAGCUUACUAAACUGCCACUGACAUUGAUGCUCGAAAGUGUGGGUAUCAAACAGGAUUAGAUACCCCGGUAGUC